rnacentral:lncRNA from 1 species
GCGUUGGCAAAGUCGGUUCAGCGAUUCGUCGAGCCUAUGUGAAGAUAUUGAAGAAACGGACGUUUCGGCUUCGUUUCCGCCUGGAGGGCCGAGGCGACGUCCAAAAAUCACGAGAACGGAUCCGGAGCAUCGUGGCAUCAAGUUAUAGACCUUUAAUUUUCGGAUUGUGGAUUGGUGGUCGUUCGGUGGUCGAGCGUGAGAUCGAACCGAACCGGGCGGCGUGUGCCGCCGGAGGCCGAUUGCAAGUGUCGACAAGCAAUCGAAACGCGAUAACAGGUGGGUUGUGCUUACCGAAGCAACUAGGUCACCUCCAUGCCAAAGUGGAGUAUGAGUUUUUGUUGAUGCAUCUGUAUGGGCACGACGGCAUUGUAAUUAUGCUAGAUAGAAAUGUAUGCAUGUGAAUUUAAAUGCCAGUUGGAGAAUAUAUAUGCAUGACAGCAUCAUGUGAAUCAUACUAGAUGAUAGUUGAUAAUAGCAUAUUGAUGCAUUGAAAAAUAUGCUAGUGAUAGUUUCAUGUUGAGAUGUAAUAGAACAUGCUAGAGCAUAUAAGUGAAUGGUAACAUGUUGUAGAUCAUGUUAGAAAGAACAUACAUGUUGGCAUUGUAAGUGUGCUAGAUGGAAAGUGUGUGCAUGUAUCAUUAUAAGAAUUAUGCUAAGUUGAUAGUUGCAUACUGUUGCAUGGAAACUAUAUGCUAGUGGAUAGAUGCAUGUUAAUAUUUAUAUGCAUUAUAGAAUACAUGCUAGGUACAUAUUAGCAUUGUGAGAUCAUGUUAGAGAGCAUCAUAUUAACAUAUUGUUGAUUAUGUUAGAUAAGAUGCAUGAUAGUACUCGAUGGGGACAAUUAGAAUGCCAAG